AGUAAAGGUAGAGGAGCGGUUUUUAUCAGUAUGCAUCUCUUCUCGGAGAAUUGAGAGAUGCAGAAAGGAAAACCCGCCGAAGUUUCAUUAUCUGCUCCGGAGGUAAUGACGCUGGGCCGUAAGAGAACAUCUUGCGGACUGUCACUUUUUAGUGGAGCGCUACCGGAACU
rfam:Burkholderiales bacterium YL45, complete genome.